rnacentral:misc_RNA from 1 species
UUUCCGUAGGUGAACCUGCGGAAGGAUCAUUAAGAAAUUGGACUCCAUUGGUGAGUUCAUUAAUAAUCCCUACCCUUUGUGAAUUUGUUUGUUUGAAUAAUUUUUUUUCCAAAAAAAAUUAUUGAAUGUCUUUCCCUGUUUUGGUGGAGCUUGUAAAGUGAAACCAGGCAGGGGAAUGGCAAACAAUAAUUAUUUUUGAAAAAAGACCUUUUUUUAAAAUUAAACUUUUUGUAUUCAUUUGUCUAAAAUUAUUUUUAUAAUAUAAAAACAACUUUUGACAAUGGAUCUCUUGGUUCUCGCAACGAUGAAGAACGCAGCAAAAUGCGAUAAGUAGUGUGAAUUGCAGAAUACGUGAAUCAUCGAAUCUUCGAACGCAUAUUGCACUUUUUUAGUUUACUAAAAAGUAUGUCUGUUUGAGUAUCAGUAAAAUAUUCUCAUAAAAAACAUUGUUUUUUUAUGGUUAUGAGUGUUUUACAACGAUAACAAGUUGUUUCACUUUAAAUUCUUUGUUAUCAAAAAAAUCACUAAAAGCUAAUUUUAAAGAUUUUUUAAAAUUGGAUAAAAUUUUCCCGUAAAAAGGAAUAACCUAAACAAUUUUAAAAAAUUAAAAUUGGUUUGAUUUUUUUUGAAACCCAAAGGAAAAAAAACGAAAUUAACUUGAUCUCAAAUCAGAUAAGAGUACCCGCUGAACUUAAGCAUAUCAAUAAGCGGAGGAAAAGAAACUAACUAGGAUUCCCUCAGUAACGGCGAGUGAAGCGGGAAGAGCUCAAAUUUGAAAUCUACAAGGUUUUACCUUGACGAAUUGUAGUUUAAAGAAGUGUUUUCUGUUGGGGUUUUGGUAAAAGUUCUUUGGAAAAGGACAUCAUAGAGGGUGAGAAUCCCGUAUUUGACCAUUAUCUCCAGCUUUGUGAUACACUUUCAAAGAGUCGGAUUGUUUGGGAAUGCAGUCCAAAAUGGGUGGUAAGUUUCAUCUAAAGCUAAAUACUGGCGAGAGACCGAUAGCGAACAAGUACCGUGAGGGAAAGAUGAAAAGAACUUUGAAAAGAGAGUUAAACAGUACGUGAAAUUGUCAAAAGGGAAGCGUUUGACACCAGUGUUGUCUUCUCGAAAGUCAAUUAAAAAAGGCCGGAUUUUGUGUUGUAUUGACUUUAUCAGCUUUCUGCACUUUCUUCUUGUCUUUUUUAAUGCACUUUUCGUUUAACAAGUCAACAUCAAUUUCUUUUGUUGUAAAAGGGUCAUUGGAAGGUGGCUUUCUUCUCGGAGAAAGUGUUUAUAGCCUUUGGCCUCUGCAAUCGGAGAGAUUGAGGUCUGCAGCGUAGAUCCUUCGGGGUUAGAUACAUUUGUGCUAAGUUAUAGCCUUUCAUAGACAACUUGUUGACUAUGAUCAGUCAUGUAGCUUACUCGCUUAUGCUAUUU